AAUUUAUUCCCCAAUAUAUUUCUGGCAAGCAGUUUUGCCAUGAGUAUUCUCACUGCACAACACAACUACCCUUUUACUUGCCAGAGAGAAUAAUGUAUCCAAAAGCAGAAGACCCUGUUGUCCCCCCCACAACUGGAACUGCCAUGCAAACAGGACUUGGAUGUGAUUUUUCUAGAUGGCAAAUUACUACACUACGGCAACUUAUGCAUGAGUAACUAGAUCACUGUUUUUUUGCAGCAUCAGUACUACAUGAAAGGAUAUUUGCAACAUCGGUUUGCACGGGGUGAAUUAACUGCAUGUAUGUAUCAUCUAAAACUUGCUUUGGUUGCUUAGGCAUAAGAGGGGAACAGUGCCCAUUUCAGGCAAUUAUUUAGUGUUCUAUUUAGUAGGUUCUCUUGUUUAAUCAUUUAACAUGUUAUUUUGCUCCUUUAAAGGCUAAAUACAGUCUUGCAAAGCAUGUUACAUGUGCCCUAACCUUUGUCGGAAGCCAGACAGUGCUUAAUGCUAUCAGUAACAGCUUUGCCUUGUGUUCUGCUCCCUCUGGGAACCGUAUGUCCCACACUGUAGGUGUGAAAAAGGAUCAAAGAAUUUUUUCUGACAGAAGUACUUUAGCCAUUUAUUCUAUCAGGCAGUUACACACAGUUUAAUUUCCAGUCAAAGUGAAUGCAGUUACCAGAUCACACUACUGCUUCGACUAGACAACAAAUUAAGCAGUUUUGUGCCACUUGCAAAACUAAUUCAAAGUCAACUCUUACUGUUGAAGACGGACUUGUUUUUUCUUUAGUUUUUCAGAAGGCAGGAGGUUUAUGCCACUUUUUUGUAGUUGCUUUCUAUAGGUGCUUGUACUAUCCCCUAAUCACUACUGGCCAAUCAAACUCAUCUGAAAAGAUUCUCUUGGUGUCAGUCUUGCCAUUGACGGUGUGUGCUUUCUUUGGGAAACAUUUAAGAUGAUAGGAAAUGUUUCUGAAAGAACUGUAUUCAAGCCAUUCCUGGAGACGGCACAUUGGAUGACACAGCAGCAGGAAACCCACAUUCCUCCUGUUUUCCCACCUGCAAAGUGGCAGUGAGUUCAGUACAUCAGUCCUAUCUUUCAGAUCACCC